AUUGAACGCUGGCGGCAUGCUUUACACAUGCAAGUCGAACGGUAACAGGCCGCAAGGUGCUGACGAGUGGCGAACGGGUGAGUAAUGCAUCGGAACGUGCCCAGUCGUGGGGGAUAACGCAGCGAAAGCUGCGCUAAUACCGCAUACGAUCUAUGGAUGAAAGCGGGGGACCGUAAGGCCUCGCGCGAUUGGAGCGGCCGAUGUCAGAUUAGGUAGUUGGUGGGGUAAAGGCUCACCAAGCCAACGAUCUGUAGCUGGUCUGAGAGGACGACCAGCCACACUGGGACUGAGACACGGCCCAGACUCCUACGGGAGGCAGCAGUGGGGAAUUUUGGACAAUGGGCGCAAGCCUGAUCCAGCAAUGCCGCGUGCAGGAAGAAGGCCGUCGGGUUGUAAACUGCUUUUGUACGGAACGAAACGGUCCGGGUUAAUACCCUGGGCUAAUGACGGUACCGUAAGAAUAAGCACCGGCUAACUACGUGCCAGCAGCCGCCGCGGUAA
rnacentral:rRNA from 1 species